rnacentral:rRNA from 1 species
UACAGAGGUCCCAAGCGUUGUUCGGAUUCACUGGGCGUAAAGGGUGCGUAGGUGGUGAGGUAAGUCGGAUGUGAAAGCUCGGAGCUCAACUCCGAAAUGGCAUUGGAAACUACCUUGCUCGAGGGUUGGAGGGGGGACUGGAAUUUACGGUGUAGCGGUGAAAUGCGUAGAUAUCGUAAGGAAGACCAGUGGCGAAGGCGGGUCUCUGGACAGUUCCUGACGCUGAGGCACGAAGGCCAGGGGAGCAAACGGG